rnacentral:rRNA from 1 species
CGGAGUCUGCAACCCGACUCCGUGAAGCUGGAUUCGCUAGUAAUCGCGCAUCAGCCAUGGCGCGGUGAAUACGUUCCCGGGCCUUGUACACACCGCCCGUCAAGCCAUGGGAGCCGGGGGUGCUUGAAGUGCGUCGCCGCAAGGCGCGCCCUAGAGCAAAACCGGUGACUGGGGCUAAGUCGUAACAAGGUAAC